CAGCAGCCGCGGUAAUACCGGCAGCUCAAGUGGUAGCCGCGAUUAUUGGGCCUAAAGCGUUCGUAGCCGGAUAAGUAAGUCUUUGGUUAAAUCCUACAACUCAACUGUGGGAAAUCUAGGGAUACUACUUGUCUUGAGACCGGGAGAGGUUAGAGGUACUCCUAGGGUAGGGGUGAAAUCCUGUAAUCCUAGGGGGACCACCUGUGGCGAAGGCGUCUAACUGGAACGGGUCUGACGGUGAGGGACGAAACCUAGGGGAGCGAGCCGGAUUAGAUACCCGGGUAGUCCUAGGCGUAAAUGAUGCGAGUUAAGGGUGGGGACAUCUACGAGAUGGCCCUGUGCUGUAGGGUAGCCGUUAAACUCGCCGCCUGGGGAGUACGGUCGCAAGGCUGAAACUUAAAGGAAUUGGCGGGGGAGCACCACAAGAGGUGGAGGCUGCGGUUCAAUUGGACUCAACGCCGGAAAACUCACCGGGAGCGACAGCAGUAUGAUUGCCAGGUUGACGACCUUGCUUGACAAGCUGAGAGGAGGUGCAUGGCC
rnacentral:rRNA from 1 species